rnacentral:rRNA from 1 species
GACUCGUCACACUAUCAUUAACUGAAUCCAUAGGUUAAUGAGGCGAACCGGGGGAACUGAAACAUCUAAGUACCCCGAGGAAAAGAAAUCAACCGAGAUUCCCCCAGUAGCGGCGAGCGAACGGGGAGGAGCCCAGAGCCUGAAUCAGCAUGUGUGUUAGUGGAAGCGUCUGGAAAGGCGCGCGAUACAGGGUGACAGCCCCGUACACAAAAGCGCAUGUGCUGUGAGCUCGAUGAGUAGGGCGGGACACGUGGUAUCCUGUCUGAAUAUGGGGGGACCAUCCUCCAAGGCUAAAUACUCCUGACUGACCGAUAGUGAACCAGUACCGUGAGGGAAAGGCGAAAAGAACCCCGGCGAGGGGAGUGAAAAAGAACCUGAAACCGUGUACGUACAAGCAGUGGGAGCCCCACCACUAAGCCAGUGGUGAACUCCACAUACGCAUCCUUUGCUGAGGAUACGGUUAACGGAGCGAAAGCGACGUUCAACCGCAAAAGAAGCAGAGGGGGCUUAGUGGUGGGGUGACUGCGUACCUUUUGUAUAAUGGGUCAGCGACUUAUAUUCUGUAGCAAGGUUAACCGAAUAGGGGAGCCGGAGGGAAACCGAGUCUUAAUUGGGCGUUAAGUUGCAGGGUAUAGACCCGAAACCCGGUGAUCUAGCCAUGGGCAGGUUGAAGGUUGGGUAACACUAACUGGAGGACCGAACCGACUAAUGUUGAAAAAUUAGCGGAUGACCUGUGGCUGGGGGUGAAAGGCCAAUCAAACCGGGAGAUAGCUGGUUCUCCCCGAAAGCUAUUUAGGUAGCGCCUCGUGAAUUCAUCUCCGGGGGUAGAGCACUGUUUCGGCUAGGGGGCCAUCCCGGCUUACCAACCCGAUGCAAACUGCGAAUACCGGAGAAUGUUAUCACGGGAGACACACGGCGGGUGCUAACGUCCGUCGUGAAGAGGGAAACAACCCAGACCGCCAGCUAAGGUCCCAAAGUCAUGGUUAAGUGGGAAACGAUGUGGGAAGGCCCAGACAGCCAGGAUGUUGGCUUAGAAGCAGCCAUCAUUUAAAGAAAGCGUAAUAGCUCACUGGUCGAGUCGGCCUGCGCGGAAGAUGUAACGGGGCUAAACCAU